AUUGAACGCUGGCGGCAUGCCUAGCACAUGCAAGUCGAACGGCAGCACGGCAGUAGCAAUACUGUGGGUGGCGAGUGGCGGACGGGUGAGGAAUACGUCGGAAUCUGCCCAGUCGUGGGGGAUAACUAGCCGAAAGGUUAGCUAAUACCGCAUACGACCGAGAGGUGAAAGCGGGGGACCGCAAGGCCUCGCGCGAUUGGAUGAGCCGACGUCGGAUUAGCUAGUUGGUGGGGUAAAGGCCCACCAAGGCGACGAUCCGUAGCUGGUCUGAGAGGAUGAUCAGCCACACUGGAACUGAGACACGGUCCAGACUCCUACGGGAGGCAGCAGUGGGGAAUAUUGGACAAUGGGCGCAAGCCUGAUCCAGCAAUGCCGCGUGUGUGAAGAAGGCCUCGGUUGUAAG
rnacentral:rRNA from 1 species